rnacentral:rRNA from 1 species
UGGGGAAUUUUGCACAAUGGGGGAAACCCUGAUGCAGCGACGCCGCGUGAUUUAGAAGGCCUUCGGGUUGUAAAAAUCUUUUCUAUGGGAAGAAAAUGACAGUACCAUAGGAAUAAGGACCGGCUAAUUACGUGCCAGCAGCCGCGGUAAUACGUAAGGUCCGAGCGUUGUCCGGAAUCAUUGGGCGUAAAGGGUACGUAGGCGGGUAAGCAAGUUGGAAGUGAAAUCCUAUAGCUCAACUAUAGUAAGCUUUUAAAACUGCUCAUCUAGAGGUAUGGAAGGGAAGGUGGAAUUCCUAGUGUAGCGGUGAAAUGCGCAGAUAUUAGGAGGAAUACCGGUGGCGAAGGCGACUUUCUGGCCAUAACCUGACGCUGAGGUACGAAAGCGUGGGUAGCAAACAGG